AGCAGCCGCGGUAAUUCCAGCUCCAAUAGCGUAUAUUAAAGUUGUUGCAGUUAAAAAGCUCGUAGUUGAAUUUCGGGAUUGGCGCAUCGGUCGUGCCUCACGGGGUAUGAACUGGUGCAGUCAAUUUCUCACCUUCUGGAGAACCGCGAUGUCCUUAAUUGGAUGCCGCGGGGAACCAGGACCUUUACUUUGAAAAAUUAGAGUGUUUAAAGCAGGCAUUUUUGCUUGAAUACAUUAGCAUGGAAUAAUAAAAUAGGACGGCAUGGUUCUAUUUUGUUGGUUUCUAGGACCACCGUAAUGAUUAAUAGGGAUAGUUGGGGGCAUUAGUAUUCAAUUGUCAGAGGUGGAAUUCUUGGAUUUAUUGAAGACUAACUACUGCGAAAGCAUUUGCCAAGGAUGUUUUCAUUAAUCAAGAACGAAAGUUAGGGGAUCGAAGACGAUCAGAUACCGUCGUAGUCUUAACCAUAAACUAUGCCGACUAGGAAUCAGACGAUGUUAAUUUUUAAUGACUCGUUUGGCA
rnacentral:misc_RNA from 1 species